AUUUGUGCAUAAAGUAUUUUGAAUAUUAAUGAACAAAGUGCAUUUAUUAUUAAUGAAGAAAGUCACGAAAAAAUAGUGAAAGAAAAUGAAGAAGAAAAGCGUAAAGAGCUAAAAAGAAAAAAACUAAUGCACGUCAAAGGGCAUAUUAUCAGCGUCAGAAAGAUUUGAAGAAAAAUGAAGAAAUAAUAAAAACAGUACCAAAAUCAAAUACUGAACGUCAAAGGAAAUUUCGUCAACAUAAUGCAGAAAAAUCUUACAUGGAUAUAAAAAGACGAAAAUUGUGCAGUAAUGAAGUUUCAAUGAUAAAUAUUCUUGAAUAACCAACAGCUACUGUAAGAUAAUAAAACCCACAUGUAUUGUAAAAUAAUAAAAAUAUUUUAAACAAUA